GACGAACGCUGGCGGCGUGCCUAAUACAUGCAAGUCGAACGCACAGUUUAUACCGUAGCUUGCUCCACCAUAGACUGUGAGUUGCGAACGGGUGAGUAACGCGUAGGUAACCUGCCUGGUAGCGGGGGAUAACUAUUGGAAACGAUAGCUAAUACCGCAUAAUAUUAAUUAUUGCAUGAUAAUUAAUUGAAAGGUGCAAUUGCACCACUACCAGAUGGACCUGCGUUGUAUUAGCUAGUAGGUGAGGUAACGGCUCACCUAGGCGACGAUACAUAGCCGACCUGAGAGGGUGAUCGGCCACACUGGGACUGAGACACGGCCCAGACUCCUACGGGAGGCAGCAGUAGGGAAUCUUCGGCAAUGGACGAAAGUCUGACCGAGCAACGCCGCGUGAGUGAAGAAGGUUUUCGGAUCGUAAAGCUCUGUUGUAAGAGAAGAACGGGUGUGAGAGUGGAAAGUUCACACUGUGACGGUAUCUUACCAGAAAGGGACGGCUAACUACGUG
rnacentral:rRNA from 1 species